rnacentral:rRNA from 1 species
AACGAACGCUGGCGGCAUGCCUAACACAUGCAAGUCGAACGAGACCUUCGGGUCUAGUGGCGCACGGGUGCGUAACGCGUGGGAACCUGCCCUUAGGUUCGGAAUAACUCCCCGAAAGGGGUGCUAAUACCGGAUAAUGUCUUCGGACCAAAGAUUUAUCGCCUUUGGAUGGGCCCGCGUUGGAUUAGCUAGUUGGUAGGGUAAAAGCCUACCAAGGCGACGAUCCAUAGCUGGUCUGAGAGGAUGAUCAGCCACACUGGGACUGAGACACGGCCCAGACUCCUACGGGAGGCAGCAGUGGGGAAUAUUGGACGAGGGGCGAAAGCCUGAUCCAGCAAUGCCGCGGAAGUGAUGAAGGCCUUAGGGUUGUAAAGCCCUUUUACCCGGGAUGAUAAUGACAGUACCGGGAGAAUAAGCACCGGCUAACUCCGUG